CGCCAACUAACUUCAUCUAGAAUGUCUGACAUUCUAGAAUGUAUUUACGAAUCCAACUGUCCUGACAUUCUAGAAUGUAUUUACGAAUCCAACUGUCCUGACAUUCUAGAAUCAGUUUCUCAGAUGAGAUCAUGGCUACCAGGUUGGAGGUUUGGGAGAUAUUUCCAAAAUAUUGGUAAUAUAUGUAUCUAUCAUUUGUUAUACAUAGUUGCAGCUCCCAUAACCUGUAUAAAUCAAACAAACAUAUCAAAAUCCCAUUAAGGCUACAUUUCCAUUUAUAUAUAAAAAAAAUGCUUACUUGGAUCAGUGACAGCAAUGAGAGCAGAGUCUGAGAAGUUGCAGUUCCAAAGGUUUCUUCCAUUGGUUGCAUAGUAGUGGUUCAUGAUGGCAGAUGCAUGAUUCAUCGGUGUGUCUGGGUAGAAACACGCCCCACAUGAUUGAAUCAUCUUGCAACUAGGCAACAUGUUGCAAGCAUAUUCAAUGUUCAGCUGGAGGACACAUUCACUUGCUGAAGGCUUGGCAACACACCAAGUUGCUCCAUUAGCAUUCCCUCCUGCACAUUAUCCAAAAAAAAAAAAAAUUAGAAGGUAUCUAUUAUAAGUAAUAAAAUGAAAUUUAAAUUUAACUACCUGCAUUGAGAAGGAGAAAGACAAAACCCAGAAGGGAAACAGAGGAUUUGGUCAUGGUUUGUAGUGUGUGUGUUUGGAAACAAUGAAAGUGUAGUGUUUGGAAACAACGAAAGUGUAGUGUUUGGAAACAAUGAAAGUGUAGUGUUUGGAAACAAUGAAAGUGUAGUGUUUGGAAACAAUGAAAGUGUAGUGUUUGGAAACAACGAAAGUGUAGUGUUUGGAAACAAUGAAAGUGUAGUGUUUGGAAACAACGAAAGUGUAGUGUUUGGAAACAAUGAAAGUGUAGUGUUUGGAAACAACGAAAGUGUAGUGUUUGGAAACAAUGAAAGUGUAGUGUUUGGAAACAACGAAAGUGUAGUGUUUGGAAACAAUGAAAGUGUAGUGUUUGGAAACAACGAAAGUGUAGUGUUUGGAAACAAUGAAAGUGUAGUGUUUGGAAACAACGAAAGUGUAGUGUUUGGAAACAAUGAAAGUGUAGUGUUUGGAAACAACGAAAGUGUAGUGUUUGGAAACAAUGAAAGUGUAGUGUUUGGAAACAACGAAAGUGUAGUGUUUGGAAACAAUGAAAGUGUAGUGUUUGGAAACAAUGAAAGUGUCGUGUUUGGAAACAAUGAAAUACGAUUAAUGAACAUGGCUAAUGGCGACGCAUUUUAUAAACAGAAUUGUUGUUUGAUUAAUGAUUAAUUAGUGACAUCCACCCACCCACCCAUCCGCCAACUAACUUCAUCUAGAAUGUCUGACAUUCUAGAAUGUAUUUACGAAUCCAACUGUCCUGACAUUCUAGAAUCAGUUUUUCAGAUGAGAUCAUGGCUACCAGGUUGGAGGUUUGGGAGAUAUUUCCAAAAUAUUGGUAAUAUAUGUAUCUAUCAUUUGUUAUACAUAGUUGCAGCUCCCAUAACCUGUA
rnacentral:lncRNA from 1 species